rnacentral:rRNA from 1 species
GACAACCCUUUGAUUUCCGACUCUGUUGCCUCCGGGGCGACCCUGCCUUCGGGCGGGGGCUCCGGGUGGACACUUCAAACUCUUGCGUAACUUUGCAGUCUGAGUAAACUUAAUUAAUAAAUUAAAACUUUUAACAACGGAUCUCUUGGUUCUGGCAUCGAUGAAGAACGCAGCGAAAUGCGAUAAGUAAUGUGAAUUGCAGAAUUCAGUGAAUCAUCGAAUCUUUGAACGCACAUUGCGCCCCCUGGUAUUCCGGGGGGCAUGCCUGUUCGAGCGUCAUUUCACCACUCAAGCCUCGCUUGGUAUUGGGCAACGCGGUCCGCCGCGUGCCUCAAAUCGUCCGGCUGGGUCUUCUGUCCCCUAAGCGUUGUGGAAACUAUUCGCUAAAGGGUGUUCGGGAGGCUACGCCGUAAAACAACCCCAUUUCUAAGGUUGACCUCGGAUCAGGUAGGGAUACCCGCUGAACUUAAGCAUAUCAAUAAGCGGAGGAAAAGAAACCAACAGGGAUUGCUCUAGUAACGGCGAGUGAAGCAGCAAUAGCUCAAAUUUGAAAUCUGGCGUCUUCGACGUCCGAGUUGUAAUUUGUAGAGGAUGCUUCUGAGUGGCCACCGACCUAAGUUCCUUGGAACAGGACGUCAUAGAGGGUGAGAAUCCCGUAUGCGGUCGGAAAGGCGCUCUAUACGUAGCUCCUUCGACGAGUCGAGUUGUUUGGGAAUGCAGCUCUAAAUGGGAGGUAAAUUUCUUCUAAAGCUAAAUAUUGGCCAGAGACCGAUAGCGCACAAGUAGAGUGAUCGAAAGAUGAAAAGCACUUUGGAAAGAGAGUUAAAAAGCACGUGAAAUUGUUAAAAGGGAAGGGAUUGCAACCAGACUUGCUCGCGGUGUUCCGCCGGUCUUCUGACCGGUCUACUCGCCGCGUUGCAGGCCAGCAUCGUCUGGUGCCGCUGGAUAAGACUUGAGGAAUGUAGCUCCCUCGGGAGUGUUAUAGCCUCUUGUGAUGCAGCGAGCGCC